rnacentral:misc_RNA from 1 species
AUGUCUCUGGCGUUCAUGGCUGCACUGCAUGUAGUAACAGGCAAACUUUCUUGGCUCGCCUCUCUCAUUCUCAUCAUGGGAACCAUCUCUCUUGUCAUUCUUUUUCCAGACUCCGUAAUAAGUUUGGUUCCACUUGACUGGAAUCUGCCUCUGGUGCGUUCUGUCUCCUACUGCAUCUGUCGACUAUUGGUUUUCGUAUUUUUAAGAGACUAUGAUGCUGAACCUCCUGCUUACUUAUCGGAAAAAUCCGGCAGCAAGAAUAAGAAAAAAAAAUCUAAGAAAAAAAAAAUCUAAGGACAAGGA